ensembl:lncRNA
UUGUGAUGUCCGUUGCAUAUUUAUUUCUCCGUAAUGCUUUUUGUUCGGAAGCACGUUAAUGGCCAAGAGCUCUGACCGAUGUGGAAGGCGUUGGCAGCAGACACCUCCCAGAGAGGAAGAGGAGGACCUGGUGCCGUGGGUUUUCUGUGCCCUCUGUGAAGAAUGGUUCCACUGCUCCUGUCCUCGACGCACGUUCAACGUUCAAAUAGGAAUAAACCAGGGAUGACAACAGAUAAUCUAUAACGGAUAUCUGCGUCCUGUCAUCCACUCCUUCUUCCACUUUUUCCCACUGCAAUGUAAAGAAAAGACAGAAAAGAAUGAACAGCAUUUGAAUUACUCUAGGUCGGUCUGGGGUGAAGCUUUGAAAAAUAAGGAAUAUUUGAUAACAGAGGUACACAUAUAUCAAGGUAAUUUCAAUAAUCUACAUGAAGGGCAUACUAGGGUUGAGUUCCCCGUACAACGACAGGUUAGCAUUAACGAUACAUCCUACCAUGUUAGUCUAAACUUACUAACAUCUAAAGUACGACGAUCUCCAAAAACUGUUGAACCAACAUAGUGGCCUAUUAUGAAAGUUUGAACCAUAUUAGUAGUUAGAAUGUACGUGUUUAAUGACGUAGUGAAUCAUUUCCCCCAAAUUCCUAGGUCUUCUAGCAUAAGCUAUUAUUUGUUCAUACAGGUUUACGUUGUGAAAUUGCUGUCUGUAUUACAUUAACUUGUAUAUGCCUUUACGUGUUUCUAUUGUGUAUUUUAUAGGCCUUACGUGUUUCUAUUGAACAGUUGUGUAUUGUGGUAUUUCCAUUUGUUGUUAGCUCUAUGGAGCCUGCCCCUUCGAUGUAAUGGGUUCAUAUCCAGCCUCAAUUAAUUCUGCGUAAUUAUAACCCGUUACUGGAAAAAGGCCUUAAUGUUCCAUUGCAGGGAACAACCCUGAUGUCCACUACCGCAAGUGUGAUGUGAAAAAUGUUCUGUACUAUUAUUCGUACUAUUAUUUUGGAAUUGAAGAUUCGGUUGUGGCAGAAUUUACAUCUUCUUUUUACAUCUACAUCCCAAAUUCAAAUGUCUUUGUGUGACCAAACCUUCUCAUCUGCAAGGACAUUUAAAUGUUUUUUAAUUGUUUUGGUUGGUAAUUAUUUAAAUUGAGAGAGAUUGCAGCUUCUUUUAAAUUGUACAGAUAAAUGUUGCUUGUUACAGAUAAUAAUAAAAAAAGGUAAAUGUAUUGUUUCUUCUCUAAAGGUAUUGCUGUUUCUUUGCAGUUAUUGUUGAAGCCUAAAAGUGUAUCAAGAAUUCGCAAUGAAAUGUUAUUCUAACAGCAGAAUACUGGUGACCUGUAAAAUUACCAGCAUGACAUACAGUACAGAUAGCCUACUGUUACUUAAAACACAAUAUUAACGUUCCUAUUGUACAGUUAAAACACUGUUACCGUAAAUAAAAACACAGCACUUGGAAAUUACCGUGUUUGAUUUUCUAUUUAAAACUCUACCACUGUAACCAAAAAAUACAGUAGCCUACAUAGUAAUUACUGGGUUUUAUUUUAAAGUAAGUUCCUUGUCAAUAGCUCCCAGUUUCUUACAGUGCGGGUAAAACUGCACAUACCGCUAAAAAAUACCGCUAGAUAGUUUGGACAAAGACACGGAUAUGCUACUGUGGGUAUACAACUUGCUAGAAUACAUCAUAGAGACAUAGAACGUGUCCCCCCAACACACACACACACACACACACACACGGAACGAGAUUGGGAGAGAUCCUGGGCGGAG